GGAAUAUAUAAAUAAUAAUAAGAAAAUUUUCUCAUUAGAUGGGCUUUUAUCCUUUGUUUGUAUCGAGGGAAAUGGGGAGGGAGAGAAAUAAUUCUCUUGUUUGGACAUAAAAUAGAGUUGUUUGCACAUAAAAUAGAGGAAAGAAACGAAGUGAAAUUGAUGGUAAAUGUUUAAAUGUUCUCCUCCAAUAUAAUAGAUAUAAGAAAAAAAGGUAUAAUAUCUCCUCUAUUGUAAUAAUUUAUCCAAAUAUCAUAAAACAAAUUAAUUUUCUUUUCUUUUCUCUCAAUUUCUCUUAUUUAAUUUCUCUCUGAUUUCCUUGCAUAAUUAAAGAUCUUAUCAACUGUAUAGAGAUGGGAAGUGAGGGACUAACUAAUAUAAUUUUUAAAAUCCAAGGACUGCUUGGCGAAUAAUGGCAAAAUCUGGGACACAGAGUAAUUCACCCAAUAUGACAUGAUGGUGAAAAUUUAUCUGUGGCAAUGAUCCAUCUGAUUUGCUAAUCUUAUGUCUGAUCUAGGAAGGAUAGUUUAUCUUAUAUUAGCUUGUUCUGAACACAAUGUAAGCUUAUAGCUUUGCUUGUCCUUGUUAACAAAUUAAUGUAAUUUGGAAAAAAACAAAAAGUCUAACCCAGGAUAUGAUUAUAACACAAAUUAAAGUUUGUGAUGGGAAUGGAUAAAAUUAGAAGAAUUGGAUAUUAUUGAAAAAAGUUUUAUCAUCA
rnacentral:misc_RNA from 1 species